rnacentral:rRNA from 1 species
UUUCGAAAGGAAGAUUAAUACCCCAUAAUAUACUGGAUGGCAUCAUCUGGUAUUGAAAACUCCGGUGGAUAGAGAUGGGCACGCGCAAGAUUAGAUAGUUGGUGAGGUAACGGCUCACCAAGUCAGCGAUCUUUAGGGGGCCUGAGAGGGUGAUCCCCCACACUGGUACUGAGACACGGACCAGACUCCUACGGGAGGCAGCAGUGAGGAAUAUUGGACAAUGGGUGAGAGCCUGAUCCAGCCAUCCCGCGUGAAGGACGACGGCCCUAUGGGUUGUAAACUUCUUUUGUAUAGGGAUAAACCUAGAUACGUGUAUCUAGCUGAAGGUACUAUACGAAUAAGCACCGGCUAACUCCGUGCCAGCAGCCGCGGUAAUACGGAGGGUGCAAGCGUUAUCCGGAUUUAUUGGGUUUAAAGGGUCCGUAGGCGGAUCUGUAAGUCAGUGGUGAAAUCUCACAGCUUAACUGUGAAACUGCCAUUGAUACUGCAGGUCUUGAGUGUUGUUGAAGUAGCUGGAAUAAGUAGUGUAGCGGUGAAAUGCAUAGAUAUUACUUAGAACACCAAUUGCGAAGGCAGGUUACUAAGCAACAACUGACGCUGAUGGACGAAAGCGUGGGGAGCGAACAGGAUUAGAUACCCUGGUAGUCCACGCCGUAAACGAUGCUAACUCGUUUUUGGGGCGUAAGCUUCAGAGACUAAGCGAAAGUGAUAAGUUAGCCACCUGGGGAGUACGAACGCAAGUUUGAAACUCAAAGGAAUUGACGGGGGGCCCGCACAAGCGGUGGAUUUAUGUGGUUUAAUUCGAUGAUACGCGAGGAACCUUACCAAGGCUUAAAUGGGAAAUGACAGGUUUAGAAAUAGACUUUUUCUUCGGACAUUUUUCAAGGUGCUGCAUGGUUGUCGUCAGCUCGUGCCGUGAGGUGUUAGGUUAAGUCCUGCAACGAGCGCAACCCCUGUCACUAGUUGCCAUCAUUAAGUUGGGGACUCUAGUGAGACUGCCUACGCAAGUAGAGAG